rnacentral:rRNA from 1 species
GAUGAACGCUAGCUACAGGCUUAACACAUGCAAGUCGAGGGGAAACGAUAUUGGAAGCUUGCUUCCGAUAGGCGUCGACCGGCGCACGGGUGAGUAACGCGUAUCCAACCUGCCCACCUCUUGGGGAUAACCUUGCGAAAGUAAGACUAAUACCCAAUGAUUCCUAUAGAAGACGUAUGAAAUGGAUUAAAGAUUUAUCGGUGAUGGAUGGGGAUGCGUCCGAUUCGCUUGUUGGCGGGGUAACGGCACACCAAGGCGACGAUCAGUAGGGGUUCUGAGAGGAAGGUCCCCCACAUUGGAACUGAGACACGGUCCAAACUCCUACGGGAGGCAGCAGUGAGGAAUAUUGGUCAAUGGGCGAGAGCCUGAACCAGCCAAGUAGCGUGCAGGAUGACGGCCCUAUGGGUUGUAAACUGCUUUUAUAAGGGAAUAAAGUGAGCCUCGUGAGGCUUUUUGCAUGUACCUUAUGAAUAGGGACCGGCUAAUUCCGUGCCAGCAGCCGCCGUAA